CACGAGAGGCCCAAACGUUAUUCGGAAUUACUGGGCUUAAAGAGUUCGUAGGCGGCAUUGCAAGUAGGGUGUGAAAGCCCUCGGCUCAACCGAGGAAUUGCGCUCUAAACUGCAGUGCUUGAGGACCUAGAGGUGAGCAGAACAGAUGGUGGAGCGGUGAAAUGCGUUGAUAUCAUCUGGAAUACCGGAGGCGAAGGCGGCUCACUGGGAGUUUUCUGACGCUGAGGAACGAAAGCCAGGGUAGCGAACGGG
rnacentral:rRNA from 1 species